GGAUCGAUAGCUCAGUGGCAGAGCGGUGGGGCGUUUACCCAUGCGGCCCGGGUUCGAUUCCCGGUCGAUGUA